GUAAUUUCCUUUCUACCUUAAGAAUACAAAUAAAAGCACUAUUACCGCUGCGGGUACUUCAACCCCAAGCGGAUUGUCCACGGGAGCGACAAUCGGUAUUGCUGUUGGAGCUACAUUUGGAGUUAUUCUGAUAGUAGUCUUGGCAGUGCUCAUGUACAAGCGUGUUGGUAAGAAAUCAAGGAAAGUAAACAUAACAGCAGAAAACCCUGGUGCUAACGAAGAGAAUGAACUAAAAAACAAAGGUGACGCGACUUAGAACGCCAACCCUAUACCUGUCAAAAACAGACGAAAACUUCGUUAGCUUCCGUGUUUGAAGCAUAGGGGAAAAACUCAAACUAGACAGUUUUAUAGUGUAGGUAGACAUAUAUAACUCAACAAUGAAAAUCGUUUUCGCAUGCGUCAGAUUGUCCAAGAAUAUACGAUCUCGUAUCCAGAGUCCUUAUUUCUUACUGCGCAUGCUCGACGAAAUGAUUUCGUCAAGUAUGCGCAGCAAAGAAUAAAGGCUCUGAUUAAAAGAUCGGGUUUUUAGGGGGAAAUAUUUUACUAAAACAUUAGAAACGUUCUACAUACAAUAAAAACAAACCAUGCAAAGGCAUUGUUCAAAAGAUUUCUAAAAAAAUCUAAUUUUAAGAAAUGAGCUUUAGAGACCUUUUUCCGCUUGUGUGUAAUUUUUUCUCAUUUCAGAAGACGAGUUUGUCUUAUGGUGCGCAACUGUUAAACAAAAAGAAUAAUGCUCUAGGGAAUGACAUUUGAUCCAAAACCAUAACUUUUUAGUUUGAAUUGGUAUGUAGCCGUCAUAUACUGUAUUUCUUAAGAGUGGAGGAAAACCUGAGGAACUGUGCUGAAAAAUCUCGAAUCAAGGGAGAAACCUAAAGAUGAUUCCAAGUCUAGGGAGAGUUUGGUUCCCAAACAGAAGCCGAAUCACUGACAUAUUACUUGUGUGCAAUAGUCUAUGCUGUAUAAAGUAAAUUGAAGUGAAUUUCAGUAAAUAUACAGUUUUUCUUAAA